rnacentral:tRNA from 1 species
GGGGAUGUAGCUCAGCGGCACAGCAUUUGCCUGGCAUUCAUGAAGCUUUGGGUUCAAUUCCUAGCAUUGCCA